ensembl:lncRNA
CAAAGCUGCCCCUGAAGCAAGCAUCCCAAUACAGGAUGUCCCUUAAAUAGGUUGAGUAUGGAUUCUGGCGUGGCUGAAUGUUGAGCUCACCCCAAGCAUGGUCUGCAGGCUCCUUGGCUCCCAGGAAGCGGUGAGCAGCAAGAGAACUACCAGAACAUUGGUACCUUGACUUCUGAUGUGUGAUGGAGGGAAACGUUUGGAUCUUCUCAGGAGGAUGCAAAUGAAAGCAUGAAGGCUUCAGACAUCACAGAGGCUCAGAAAAAACUCAGAAAAAGACAGAGAAUGAGAGAACAGAAGAAGUUGAAGCAGCAGAAUCUUCUUCUAUGAGAUAUUCUUUUUGAAAUUUAUGCAAAGAGAAUGCAGCUUUGUAAAGGGAGCUGAGCAUAAUCCCAAACACUGAUGAGAAUGCUUGGACAAUGAAGGUAACUGUUAAUUAGUGUGGAAAACAGCAAAAAAGACCUGCCAGGAGGAUUUCAGAACCCACCAGACUGCAGCCUAACAGUUAGGACAUGCUUGCGUGAGUUUAACUGUUCUUGGUUAAGAGACAGACUUAAAAUCUCUGACUCUUGGAUUUAAAAAAAAAAAAAAAAGAAGAAGAAAAAGAAGAAAAAGAAAAAGAAAGACCGGAUAAAAUGGAAAUAGAAACAAAACACUUCAAUUUGCUGAGAAUGAAAUCUGUGCAAACACUUUUUGUAAUCCUCAACUAGAUUCAGAGAAAUGAGUGGUUUUUAAACCCUGACAGUGUAUAAAUAUAAAUUACAUGCUUAGCUGCUCAGUGCCAUCAAAAUGUGCAUGGUUCUGGGCAUACCCUGAAGGAGACAUUUAUCUGCUGGUAGAAGUUGACUGGUGGAAGUGCAAUCACUUAAGGAACCAUUUCUGUUAAUGCAAAGGCUGCUGUUGAUGACUGCCUGCUGCUUUCUUCUUCGGGACUGACUGCUUGGCUGACUUUCAACUUGUUGGUUGGGUUUUAUAAGAAAAAAUGUAGAUGUUUACAGCAUAGGUAUCUACAUUUGACCCACUGUCCUUGACUCUUUCCCCAUUCAUCAUUUGUUUACUUAGUAUAGAAAAUAUGAAGAUCUGUGAGG